CCCAAGAUUUUGAGCUUAGAAUAAAUUAGUGAAAUUCCUUAUUAACGAAUAAGUUCGAUGUAUCGUGAAGGGAAACCUGAACGAGAGUUUAUUGGAUGAAAUAGAUUUAUGAAGGAGAAGGUUCAGGAAAAGUUCAAGGAUUGUAUCAAAACCGAUAAGAGUUAUAGCACGACUAAUAUUCGCCUAAACCUAGGUCAAAGACACUAGUAAAUAGCUAAUUUACACUUUAGGACGCGACAGAAACUAAUUCCAAAAAUCUUCAGAGAAAUGUUAGAACUUCUCUUAUUCAUCUAUAAACAAGCGUUUCGAUACGAAACCCUGGAAUGUACGAACGUCAAAUUCCAAUUCUCGGAAGUUUGCCGAAACGGAAUCCCUGAUAGUUCAGAAACCCUAAAAUCGACGGACGAUGAAGACUUUUUCUAUUCGGAGCUUCAAACGAAGAUUCCACACGCGUGCACCCAUUUCUCUUGAUGUUUCCAAUCUUUCUUCAGAAGGAAGUUUCUUCAUUCGACGUCAAACGCAAAAAGUAGUUUUGCGGCAUAUUUCAACCCAUACUACGUUCAAGCUAUUUUCUCACUUAAAUGAACCAGGAACAAGUAUCGACAUUUUAUAGAGAGAUACUUAACUCUGAUGCAUAAUAUGACAACUUCAUAUUUGUUCUGAUCGUCUCACAAAUAUUCUUUAGCUCAGUUUUUACUCAUUUCUUUGUCAAUGGAUCAUUUUAAUUUGCUCAAAGUGAUCCAAACUUAUAUUUCAUUAUUUCAUAGAGUCUCUCAUAAUUUUUGGUAAAGUAAUAUAUCAACUCUAUAUUUUUCUCUUAACCUUGUGAGCUAAAUUCUUCAGUGUCUAAAUCAAUUCGUACCGGUUUUAUAAAUAUCUUCCCUAAAUAUCUAGUAAUCCAUCCUCAUCCUCUGAGACUCACGUUCACUCCCUCCUUCUUUUUCAUUGUCACGUUUCUUUCUUUCUUGCAGCAGACCAUAAUCUUUCUUUCUUAUCCUUCUUCUUCUCUAUUUUCUAUAUAUAAGUAUAUAUCUGGUACCACUCUCUUGUCCACUCACGCUGCUCUCUUUCAAUUCAGAUUGCAUUAGCAUUCAUUACAAUUCCAAAUUCUCUCUUGUUCACUUUCAUUUUCUCUUUACAGCAAACCUCAUCAUGUUCCAUUUCUUCUUCCUCUAUCUUUUUCUCUCUUUUCCUUCCCCUGGGCAGCAUAAAAAAACGCACAUCAUGGUCCCUUUUCCUCCCUCACGUGAUUCCUUUCUUGUGCAGCACCAUCAUCUUCAUCUUCCAAUUUUAUGGGUACGAAGGACGAAAGCGCAUUGCGACGAAGCUAAAGAAUAGAAGGAAGCAAGCCGACGCGGAAAACAAAGAUGUGAUAGGAUUGGAGUUGCAGUUUAGGAAGAAAAUUGGCUAAGGUAAGGACAACUCUCCUAGUUAUUAGCUAUAUGAUUUAGGCGUCGAUAACUUCGACCUGUUUAUUGCUUUUGAUUAUGACUGUUGGACUGGACUGGGAAAAUGUUUUAUGAGGCUUCGGCCAUUGUGAACUGAUAGAGGCGUGCGUCUCCGUUUUCUGGAGGCUUCGGCCGUUUACUGGUUUCCGUCUUAUUGUUUUAUAGUGGAUAGACAUGUUCUAUUCCUUUAAAUUGCAAAAGUGCAUGAAUCUGUUUUAUGCCCAAACCUUAUGGGUAUAUCGACUUCGAAUGCGGAGUGUUUUAAGAGUUAGCAAGUAGGACCCGACGGAAGGUCUGAGCUACUGCUGACGUGAUGGAUCGAGGUUUUCUUAGGAAAGAGAACUUGGGGAUGAUAUUGAUCUUUUGACUUGUUAGAUUUUGAAACAAAUGAAUGCAUAAGACUUGAUUUGAGAAUAAAUUCCAUAAUGAAUUAACUCAAAAUAGAACACUUUGAAUAAUAAAGAUAAACCAUUUUGAGGAAAACUUAGGAUAUGAAAUGAGUUCGAAAAUGGGAAGGGACGAAGAUUCGAGGUUCGAGGAAAGAUAAUGAUUCGAGUUGUGAACAUCAUGAAGAGGAGCCGUUAUGAGUAGAACCGCCAUUAAGUGCAGGUGCUACUCCUUGUGUGAAGUGAUUGGUCAAUGGACCGACGUUUACCUUAGGGAAAAACGAUAGAGACAUGAACCAUAGCUAGACACGUAUCCGGGUGAGGACGAAUCGUGGUUUGCUAGCUCUUGCAUACCUGCAUGACUUGAUUAAGGGGCUUGUCCUUAAUCCUAUUAAUUAUUCUUUGAUUAAGAGGUUUGUCCUUAAUCAUAUUAUUUAUCCAUCGAUUAGAGAGGAUGGACCUUAAUCGUAUUGUUUACCCCUGGAUUAAAGUGGCUGGACCUUAAUCCUAUUAACUACUCUUGAGUAAGGGGUGUGACCUUAAUCAUACUAUUCGCUAUUGGAUUAAAGAGGAUGGACCUUAAUCCUAUUAUUUGCUUAUGGAUUAAAGAGGAUGGACCUUAAUCCUAUUAUUUGCUUAUGGAUUAAAGAGGAUGGACCUUAAUCCUAUUAUUUUCUUGUGGAUUAAAGUGGCUGGACCUUAAUCCUAUUCUUUGCUAUUUGAUUAAAGUGGUUGGACCUUAAUCAUAUUAUUUGACCUUGGAUUGAAGUGGCUGGACCUUAAUCCUAUUAUGUGUUAGUUGAUUUAGAGGAUUGACCUUAGUCGUACUAUUUGUUAUUUUUCCUAAGAGGUUAGACCUUAACUCCUAUCAUUUGGAUCGAUUAAGGGGAUAGUCCUUGAUCCUGUUAUCUGUUUGUUGAUUAGAGAGUAUAGAGCUCAUCGUGCUAGAUGAUUGACCGCCGAGUCGUGCGUUUCCAUUAGUGAGACGUGACGCUGCCCUGGCAAGGGAAUGAAGAUACAUCUAGGCGCAGGCGGCGAGUGAUGGACUGAUAACUUGACGUUCAAAGGAUAGAGAACGACUUAUGCUGUGUCUAAUUAUUAUUCACACGCUAUAUAACUAUGCUAAAUCUAGCUAGGACUUAUAUUACAUUACUCUAGGAAGUUGACCCUUUCUGCCUUGUUUGCUUUGUUUGUGUUUGGGCGGUCGGCAAACUGCCAGGCCCUAAUAGGUGUUGCUUCGAGUAGCUGUUGAUUGCUGCAAGGAGGUGAUUGGACUGAUUGACGAGAAGAUUUGCUUGGAGUGAGUGAACCAACCAAAGACUUGUAAAAUAAUAGUUAGAUGUAAGGCUGGAGCCUUGGGUAGAGAAGCUUACCGUCAUUGGUUGAAGCUCGUAAGGAAGAUUGUAAUACUUACUUUGGUCUUGGGUAGGUUCCGAUGCAUUACUCUUCUGCGAAUCUCCAGUGAGGGGAUUGUAGGAAGUAUAUUGGACUUAGGGUGUUAUCACAUUUUGAACUUUGUUGUCGGUUAAGAUAUUACUUCACUGUAUAUUUUAUACGACUUGAACAUCCGUCGUCACUCACGGGUGCUUGCCUUGUCAAGGCCGGAUGUAAGGGUUUGGGUAA